UUUCUCAAUUCUCCCUCUUUUCUCUCCCAACACUUUGUGAUAUUCAUCUCCCUAAUCAAAUUAUUGCACCACUUAGAUUUAUAUUACCUACCUCCAUUAAUUUAUUAUUUCUUUCUCUUUCACACACACAAAUUCUUUGUAUUAUGUAUUGUUUAAUUUUCUUCGAAUUCUUUUGUUGAUUUAAUAACAUAAAAGAUCAAAUUUGCGUGAUGGGCGUUUUAAGACGCAAAGCCUCUUCUGACGCCUCCUUUGCUUUGGGCAAUAAAAAUUUGGGUUUCUCCAGAUAAUAUAUUAUGUGUACGUAUUCGUGGGUUCUUAUUAAUUUAAUUCUAUUGUAGAGGUACAUGAAAGUUCAAAUUUAUUCAAGAGCAAAGUUACAAGACAAGUGGUUACAUUAGCGUUUGAGGAAGCAACAUAUUUUUUUUCCUUAGUUUAUUACUAAAUUAUUGUAUUUCUAUUUGACCUCAUGUUGUUGAAUGAAUUUUAAUUAUGUUGUGUUUUAUAUUAACGAGUUUGUAAUGAGAUAUUAUCUCAAUAUAGUACUAGUUCUUAAUUAUGUGA